UGUUCACUUGGUUUUCUGUUCAGCACUGUACGAAGGCGGCAGUUGGAAGGUUCGCGUGAAAUUUCUGGAGGAUUAUCCUUACAGCCCGCCGUCUCUCGCCUUUGUGGGUCCCAUAUUUCACCCAAACAUAUCCCAGUUGGGCGGGAUAUGUGUGGACCUUCUUGGCUGGAAGUGGGACGCCGGAUAUGAUCUUUUAAAAGUGUUCGAAGAAAUACUUCCCGGUCUGUUGGUACAACCAAAUGCUGCAAGCCCUUACAAUCAGGAGGCGUCUGACUUGAUGUUGGCGGACGAGAAGGCGUAAGCAGAAAGAGUGAAGGCUUAUAACCACCACGCUGGAUAAGGGUAUGCUGUUUUUUUUUACCCCAUUCAGUGUUCUUUUCGCUGGGGCAUAUUUCUGUUUUGGGGUUGCUGGUUUGUGUGUCCUCUUUGACUUAUUAUUUUAUUUCCUUGGUUAGGCUUCUGUCUUUCGUAGUAGGGUGGUGCCCAUUGACACCUUCUUUAAUGCUAUUUCUUAGUUAUACGAAAGAAAUAUAAUAUGCUAUUUUGUUACUACAAUUGUGCAAAUAUUAUUUGGUCUAUUUUUCUCUCAAAACAUCAAAGAGAAAUCUUAUAUGUGACUUCCAUCAACAAAGCUGUAGAGGCAAAGAGGUGAGUCCCGUCAUGGGAGAUGUAGAAACAACGAGGCUUUCCAAACUUGAGGUAUUGCUAAUGCCUCCUGCCAAAUUCGGCUUGAAGUUCAGCAAUGCUAAUUUAGCACAAGAUUCAGCUAGAGCUCAAAA